CCAGGUGGCGCAGUGGUCUAAGGCACUGCAUCGCAGUGCUAGCUGUGCCACCAGAGAUUCUGGGUUCGAGCCCAGGCUCUGUCGCAGCCAGCCACGACCGGGAGGCCCAUGGGGCGGCGCACAAUUGGCCCAGCAUCGUCCGGGUUAGGCCGGCAGGGAUAUCCUUGUCUCAUUGAGCACUAGCGACUUCUGCCGGGCGCAGUGCACGCUGACCAGGGUUAUAGGUGUACAGUGUUUCCUUCGACACAUUGGUGCGGCCGGCUUCCGGGUUGGAUGUGCAUUGUGUCAAGAAGCAGUGCGGCUUGGUUGGGUUGUGUUUCGGAGGACGCAUGGCUCUCGACCUUCGUCUCUCCCAAGUCCCUACGGGAGUUGCAGCGAUGAAACAAGACUGUAACUACCAAUUGGGUAGAAAAAAGGGGUCAAAAUAAAUAAAUAAUAAAAAUAAUAAAUAAAAAGACAAUAUAUACUAAAGAAGUUUUCAUAAGGGCUAAAGGAUAGCUGAAGAGCAGUGAUGUUAUCAGCUUGACUCACAGGCCAGCCCAGAGCAGAGAUCAGUCUGUGUGUCACUGAUUUUCAAACGAAAAGGUUGUGUUUAAUGUCAUCUGCCUGGGAGAAAACAGCCAGGCCAAAACAAGCUCUUAAAAACAUCACACACACAGUACAUACCCGUACAGACACACAACAAGGAGGUCACAUGGAGGAGAGGCGUGCCGUGAGGUGACAUCACACACACAGUACAUACCCGUACAGACACACAACAAGGAGGUCACAUGGAAGAGAGGCGUGCCGUGAGGUGACAUCACACACACAGUACAUACCCGUACAGACACACAACAAGGAGGUCACAUGGAAGAGAGGCGUGCCGUGAGGUGACAUCACACACACAGUACAUACCCGUACAGACACACAACAAGGAGGUCACAUGGAGGAGAGGCGUGCCGUGAGGUGACAUCACACACAGUACAUACCCGUACAGACACACAACAAGGAGGUCACAUGGAAGAGAGGCGUGCCGUGAGGUGACAUCACACACAGUACAUACCAGUACAGACACACAACAAGGAGGUCACAUGGAAGAGAGGCGUGCCGUGAGGUGACAUCACACACACAGUACAUACCCGUACAGACACACAACAAGGAGGUCACAUGGAGGAGAGGCGUGCCGUGAGGUGACAUCACACACAGUACAUACCAGUACAGACACACAACAAGGAGGUCACAUGGAGGAGAGGCGUGCCGUGAGGUGUUGCUUUAUUUGUUUAUUGAAAACAGGUUUGCUGUUCUCUUGCGAUAUAUAAGAUGGAAGGGAGUUCCAUGCACUCACGGCCCUGUAUAAUACUGUACAUUCCCUUGAAUUUGUUCUAGACCUGGAGACUGUGAAAAGACCCCUGGUGGCAUGUAUGGAGGUGUGUGUGUGUGUGUGUGUGUGUGUGUGUGUGUGUGUGUGUGUGUGUGUGUGUGUGUGUGUGUGUGUGUGUGUGUGUGUGUGUGUGUGUUGUGUGU